UCUAGCUUCUGUUCUGCUUCUACUUCUGGGGGUUUCUACUAUUGGAGUACCAAGCUUGCUGGCCCAAAAUGGUCACCAUUUGCUUCAUGGAUAACUGGCUGGUAUAUUGAGAUGAUUUCUUUGGAGCAAUUAUUGACAACAUUUGUAGUUGAGGCCUUUAGAAUGGAAGAAUGUAUUUCACUAAUUUUUGUAUACAUUUCUUGUUUUGUAUUUAGUGAUAAAGGAAUCUGAAUUGGGCAUAAAUUAUGUUGUAAUAUGAUUUCUUAAGCCUAGACUAGUAGACUAAAUAUUGUAAUUACAUUUGAGUAAUUAAUAAAAAUCUAUUUAUGUUA